CCUACGGGUGGCUGCAGUGGGGAAUAUUGCACAAUGGGCGCAAGCCUGAUGCAGCCAUGCCGCGUGUGUGAAGAAGGCCUUCGGGUUGUAAAGCACUUUCAGCGGGGAGGAAGGCGGUGAGGUUAAUAAACUCAUCGAUUGACGUUACCCGCAGAAGAAGCACCGGCUAACUCCGUGCCAGCAGCCGCGGUAAUACGGAGGGUGCAAGCGUUAAUCGGAAUUACUGGGCGUAAAGCGCACGCAGGCGGUCUGUCGAGUCGGAUGUGAAAUCCCCGGGCUCAACCUGGGAACUGCAUUCGAAACUGGCAGGCUAGAGUCUUGUAGAGGGGGGUAGAAUUCCAGGUGUAGCGGUGAAAUGCGUAGAGAUCUGGAGGAAUACCGGUGGCGAAGGCGGCCCCCUGGACAAAGACUGACGCUCAGGUGCGAAAGCGUGGGGAGCAAACAGGAUUAGAUACCCGAGUAGUC
rnacentral:rRNA from 1 species